AGAAACAUCUAUCUGCUCUUCAGGUAUAUACAUAUUUUAUUUGAGUUUUUAAUGUUUAUGCCUCUGUAUUGUGUACUUGAUUUGACAAAAUGUUACUUUUUAUGUGUAUAUAGUAGAUGGUGUAGUUAAUACAUGAUGAAAAUCCUGUCUCCGUCGCUGGUUUUGUUUUGUAUGUGAAAAUCAUGCUUUAGGGAAGGAAUAUCAUGCUUUAUAAAUAUGGUCAAAAUAAGUUUUACGUGUAUAUAGUAGAUGAUG
rnacentral:misc_RNA from 1 species